rnacentral:lncRNA from 1 species
GAUUAUUGUAUGCUUUUUUUCUAAUAUAUAGCAGUUGCAACUUGUAGGUGGAAAGACUGGUUGUAUCUUCUCUAAAACAUCCCAUUAAGGCUGGGUUUGCUCCAAGCUGCACAAACCCAGAUGUCCUUGGAGUCUUUCCUCUUAUAUCAUAUGCCCCAGUCCCUAGCUAUUCUCCACUGGACUUGUUCCCAUAUGUCAAUGAGCUCAUUGUACUUAGGAGCCCCCCAAAACAUUUUCUCAGCUGUAGUUUCUAACCCUCCUUUGUUUUCAAGCUUGUAAGAUCAAGAAUGAUUAAUCUAUUUAUUUAAAGGAAAUAAAAGAAAACGUCAUAUAAGGGCACAAUCUCUGGGCUGUCUCUGCAUUUAACAUUAGACAGAUGGCUCACAUUCCACCUGAGUCUCUGGAGGCAGAUGCAGCCCAGAUCUAAAUGGGGAGCUGCUCAGCUGCAGCCAUGUCAAAUGCUGACCAUAUGUCACAAUGGCUAGAGUCAAGGGGAAGAGGGGAAAAUACAGCUUUACAGUCCUGCUCAAGUGUCCUGAAAAUCAGCACCAAAGUCUCUUGUACUGUCUUCUGUUUGCUGUAGAUCCUAGAACGACAAGCAAAUUUUCUGUCAGCUGUCAGGCAAACUCUGAAGAGAAGCAGCAAUGACUCACUGGUCUUCACAUGGAGAUUUCACACGUUUGCCUUAGCAUAUAUGCCAGUUCCACUCCAUAUAGCCUGUUUAGCUUACGGCACUGCUGACUGGAAGGACGUACAGCACCUCCACAUCCCUGCUGUGCAAGAUAAGUGUACGGUACUGAUAUGAAAUGUAAUUGAUUUCACUGGCACAGCCUGUCCUGCAGUUCACAGGCAACAAUCUCAAAUAAUUUAAAGAGAUCACUAAUCUGAUAUUAAAUUGCAGCUAUUAAUAUGUGAUAUUGCUUUUUCAACCACCCCAGUGAACUAUUUGCAAUGGCUUCCUUUCUUUCUUUGUAACUUCAGCCUCCUUCUUUCUUUCUCCUUCCAUUUAUAUCCUUCAAAUAUACUUAUCUGAGCACUCCUGAAGGAUGAUAUGUACGAAAAAAAGCUAUACCAAGACAUAAUUACACUGGCAUAGCUAACAGAAAAGACCUAGAUGUUUCAAAUGUCAGUAGAUCUGAAGAUGUGUGGGCAGGAUUUACAACACUGGUAUGUUGCCACUGGUUACUGACUGCAUUUUUAACCUUCCCACUGCUGGCUAGCAGUGUGAAAAAGCAUAAGUCUGGGAAUUUAACACUAGAAAUAAACAAGCUCAUUACAAUCCUCUAAAAUUUAUU